GGCUGGUCUGAGUGCAUUGGAAGUUACAACUAAUAGAUUAUAGUCAGUUGCUGAUUACUUUGCUCAUUCUCCACUUCCACUGCCUCAUUCGACUCAUCUGAA
rnacentral:Y_RNA from 1 species